AAAAUGUAUAUAAGCCGAAAACGAACAAAAUUGAACCAUUUUGAAUUAGCUAUUCAAUCUUUCAAAAUUUUAAUUUACUAUCGAACCUUUCAGUUUGUUUGAUUUGCAACAGUCAACAGCGCUUUGACUUCAAAAUUUGAAUAUUUUUUUUUAUCUUUACAAAUUUAAUUAGUAUUUUUCAUAUAAGUCUCACAAUUAUAAAUUUAUUAAUAAAUAAUAAAUUUAAAUUUUAAAGUUGAAGUGUCAUUAAUUGACCUUCGAAAGGUUGUGUAAUUAUAUUUAUUUU
rnacentral:lncRNA from 1 species